CUUGAUGGAACCGAGCCAGAGCGGCUGGUCCGUCGGCUCCCGGCGGCCGUAGGUGGCCAACAGUGCCUGCGCCUC
rnacentral:antisense_RNA from 1 species